UGUGAAAGUACUUUAAUUCGUGGGUAUCAAUUUUCGUGGUUUGAGGAAUAUUUACAUGUUUGUGGGUUUUUAAAUUCGAGGAUUUUAGUUUUCUAAAAAUAAAAAAUAAAUAAAAAUUAAAGCAUUAUAAGAGACGAAGGUUACAAAUAGUCUGGAUUGAGGAAAUUGCAAAGUAAACAUUUGACCGUGUAAAUCGUAAUGAUAACACUAAUUAACCCAUGAUAAAGUGAUCAACAGAUUAAAGAUCAUCGAAGGUAUUAAUUGGGUCAUAAACAUGUCACCUAAAGAAAACAGUAACAUAAACAAAUGCUAUAAACGUAUCUUGAAUUGUCAAAUAAUUCUUAUCAAAAUCAAACCCAUCAUGAAAUUAUAAUUUCCCAUAUGUACGAGAACUAUGAGGAUAUAAAAUGAACACUUUAUCAUACUAGCAUAUCAAUAC
rnacentral:lncRNA from 1 species